rnacentral:rRNA from 1 species
UACGGGGGGGGCAAGCGUUGUUCGGAAUUACUGGGCGUAAAGGGCUCGUAGGUGGCCAACUAAGUCAGACGUGAAAUCCCCAGGCUCAACUUGGGAACUGCGUCUGAUACUGGAUGGCUUGAAUUCGGGAGAGGGAUGCAGAAUUCCAGGUGUAGCGGUGAAAUGCGUAGAUAUCAGGAAGAACACCAACGGCGAAGGCAGCUCGCUAGGACGGUACUGACGCUGAGACGCGAAAGCGUGGGGAGCGAACAGG